GCAAAUAACCCUAAUUUUUUGUAUUGGCUUAAGUUUUCCUAUUUAGCCCAUUUUGUUUGGCACAAAAAACCAUGAUCUUGUUUGAUAGGUUCAUAGUGCAUUUUCAUCUUACCAUUAAAAUAAAAACCAUAACAAACACUCCCUUAUCAUCUGUUUAUUUAUUCUCCAUUCCCUACCAUAUAUAUAAACAUAAAAAAAAAAAACCGUUUAUUUUGGAAAUCCGAUUUCCUUCCGUGUCUUGUUUCUUCUCUACAUCCUUGGGAUCUUUUGCAGAGACCAACCCAGAAGAAAGAAGGGCAAAAAAUAAUAUUAAAAAUAAUUAA